CCUACGGGAGACUGCAGUGAGGAAUAUUGGUCAAUGGGCGCGAGCCUGAACCAGCCAAGUAGCGUGAAGGAUGACUGCCCUACGGGUUGUAAACUUCUUUUAUAAAGGAAUAAAGUGAGGCACGUGUGCCUUUUUGUAGGUACUUUAUGAAUAAGGAUCGGCUAAUUCCGUGCCAGCAGCCGCGGUAAUACGGAGGAUCCGAGCGUUAUCCGGAUUUAUUGGGUUUAAAGGGAGCGUAGGUGGUGUGUUAAGUCAGAUGUGAAAGUUUGCGGCUCAACCGUAAAAUUGCAAUGGAUACUGGCUGUCUUGAGUGCAGUUGAGGUAGGCGGAAUUCGUGGUGUAGCGGUGAAAUGCUUAGAUAUCACGAAGAACUCCGAUUGCGAAGGCAGCUUACUAAACUGCCACUGACAUUGAUGCUCGAAAGUGUGGGUAUCGAACAGGAUUAGAUACCCUUGUAGUC
rnacentral:rRNA from 1 species